CCAAAACAGAAUUUCCUGCCAUGUCUGUGUUGUGAAGUAUCCUUCUCCUUUGAUUUUACUUACUUAUUUGAACAUGCAAAGCUCACUAUUUGCUGUUGAGCUGUACAAAAACAAGCGGUGGGCAUGAUCCAUCUCAACCCACUACAGUUUGACCAGUCCUAGAUUACAAUCAAUGAGAAAGGUCCCAGCACUCAAGAGGCUAAGUUAAGAAUUGUCAAGAAGCUAAUGGUUUCAGUGACCACGAGGUGCUCCUAGGCGUUUAUAAGCUGUGUUGCCAAUACCAACGUGGAUAAAAGAAGGGAAAGAACGAAGGGAGGAAAGACAGAAGAGAAGGGAGACAUUAGCGAAAUGCAGGAAACAGGACUGUAGGAGGCAGAAGGACCACGCACUGUGAAAAACAAUCAUUCUGUCCUGCACUUGGAGGUGCUCAUCUAUCCAGGAGUCUGUAGAUAACCAACGGGAAACUUUAGCUGGUCCCUCUGCUAAACCAACACUCCCUCUGGAGUUCCCGUGAGUCAAAGAAUAUCCAGGAGUCUCAGUUCUUUCACAAGAUGCCCACUGCUUGCUUUCUCUAGACACAGGAGCCACAUUUUUAGCUUAGGUAGUAACUCACAGUCAUGCUGCUAGAGAGAAGACACAGACCCACACAAACCUAGGACCUAUCUACACUCACACCAUUCCUUCCAUUUCUCACAGAAAAGCAGGCUUAGCAGUCCCUAGCAUCAUGGGAUCUCACAGAGCGAAGUCCUUAGGUCCUCUUGCAACCAUAAUUAGCAAUUCCAUAAUCUGGAAUCCCAUAAUUAGCAAUUCAUUCCUUUGCCUGAAAGGUUUUCUGAUCUCUGAGGGUACUGAAAUUAAACUACUUGGGAGAAGCAGUGUCUCUAGUUUUCUAUGAUCCUCUCUGAUGAAGAUAGAAAACUGUAUCCUGCUCCUUCCAGCACACUUCAUCAAUAAAGUAGCCUUUGCCUUUGCUUUUGUUUGGUUGGUUGUUGUGACCAUUCCAGGCAGAUAACUGAGGACCCUGAAUCUGGCCAAAUGCUGGGCAAAGAGAGAGCA
rnacentral:lncRNA from 1 species